rnacentral:snRNA from 1 species
AUUUUUGUUUGUGCAUUGAUGGUAAUAAAUAUAUAUAUAAAAAAAAAAAAAACCUGUUCUCAGCAGUUUAAUAUCUGAUAUGUCCCCCAUCGGGGGACUACAUAUUAAAUGGAUUUUUGGAACAGGGAGUCGGAAAUGGGGCUUGCUCCGUCCGCUCCACGCAUCAACCCGGUAUUGCAGUACUUCCGGGAAGCGUCCCACCUAG